AGGGCAGCACAUCAGCCUGUUCCGUCUGCCAGUGUGAACGCUCUGCUAGGUUUGCGAAUGGACAGAAGCCUGGUCCUUGAUAAAUACUCGGUUUGAACAGGACGUCUGAUCUGCCAGGAGUGUCAGUUGAGUUGUGUCCAGGAGGCAUGGGGAUGAGCAGCCGGUUUGAAGAAGCCAGGUGGAGCAGGCAGCAGUCCCCAGAUGUGCAGCCUGCAGUGCCUCAAGGCAGUACACCAGGAAUCUCCUGUCUUCUGCCAGCAUGCACGAACCUGUGGCAGGCUCACUUGUGUUUGCAAGUAAGG